rnacentral:tRNA from 1 species
GGCCCUAUCGACUAGUUGGUUAGGUCGCAACUCUCUCAAGGUUGAAACACGAGUUCGAAUCUCGUUGGGGCUA